AUCAUGCCUCUUCCCUACCACAUUUUUCACGUAUUUCUCCACCAACCAUAAAAACCUUCCGUGACUAACAGCCGCACGUCUAUGGGCAAUAUACACUAGAUGCCCAGAACUAAAUGACCUGUAAAAAUCUCUCAAAUUCACUCCCCUUUUCAAUUCCCUCCACCAUCGAUGUCAGUCACAUCACGCUCAGUUUUCCCAAUACCACUGCGAUAGGUUCUUUUGCUCCUCUCAACAAAACAAAGGCCUUCUUCUCCCUCAUCGUAUAGGAACUGAAAUGAUUUUUCUUUAACAUAGAAGAAUCCCAAAUAACCCAUCAUUUUGAUCGCCCGGAGCAAUCAAAUUUGUAAAUAAAUUGAUUGUAAGGAAGUUUAGGACGAUAACACCACCAUCACUUCGCCCAGUGUAUAGCAACUCAAAUGAUUUUUCUUUAACGUCGAAGAAUCCUAAAUAACCCAUCAUUUUGAUCACUCAGAGCAAUCAAAUUUGUGAAUAAAUUGAGUGUAAGGAAGUUUAGCACGAUAGCACCACUAUCUCUUCACCAAUGUAGAAGAAUCGCAAAUAACCCAUCGUUUUUAUCACUCAGAGCAAUUAAAUUUGUGAAUAAAUUGAGUGUAAGGAAGUUUAGGACGAUAACAUCACCAUCUCUUCCCCAGCUUCGAAACUUUAGUGCAAAUUUUGAAAACCAAAGCUAACAAAAAGUUGGAAAAUAAGAGACAUGUUUCUCAAAACCCAAUGCAAAUAUGAGCUUUAUGAUACAUAGAGUCAAAAGAAUUAAACUCUGCAUAUAAGUACUUCUAGGUAGAUACACAAGUGAUUAUUUUUAACAUUCUUGCUUAAAAGCCUUGUGCUUCCCAAUACAAUACAACACAUAAAAGUUACAUCCAUUUAAAUAGUUAACCCAAUCAAGGACCACUGGAGGGGCCACAAUGAUAAUAGUAUUAUAACCUAUAAAUAAAUAAAGUAAUCGUUUCUUACCAGUUAAAGUUUAAAGUAAGUGGUAAUUUGUCGCAAAUAAAAGAAAAAAGUUUUUAAAUAUUUAAAUUCAAUUUUGGAGAAAUAAAGAAUCUGCUAUAUUCCAAAAGUGCACUACUCUUUCAAAACCUCACUAUAGGAGUGACACUCAUCUUAAUUGGUUAAAUAAUAAUAUUUACUGUGAUAGUACUCUAACGCACAAUAGCCCUUGGCAUUGGCUGGAGACAAGCUCAAAUUAGUGUCUCGAGCAUCCUUAAGGGUUUCAAACUUGAAAUGUAAGCACUUAUUUCCUUCCAUGAGAUCGAUCCAUAUAUGAGUAAUUUAUUAAGACUGUAGACAAAAAAGGAAAAAUAAUUGUGACUAGCUAGCUGAGUCAGUGGCCAUACUACCUAGAUUUCAGCCUUUAACUGGAUUUUUUUACAAAAAAAAAAAUAAAUAAAUAAAAAGAAAGGGUGAUGAGGAUUGUACACAAGAUUGUCAACCUUAAUAAUAAGCAAAACUUAUGUCACAUGAAUCACCAAGAAGCUGGGGUGUUAUAGUCUUCAAAAUUGCAAUAUUCUCCUUUAUUCUUGAUACAUGUUAACUUUAUGGUCACGUAUUGGAUAAUUUUCUUCUACUGGGAUCAUCGUUGAUUACUUUUAGGGUCGAAAGUUUUCAAUUCAAGGUUUGUUGGGACAAGAUGCAUAUUCCAAUGCUUUUAUUGAUGGAGCGUUGGUGAUAUUUCGUUUGGCACCGCAGGAUUAUCAUCGGUUCCACGUUCCAGUUUCUGGAACUGUUGAGAAAUUUGUAAACAUACCUGGAUGCUUAUAUACAGUCAAUCCCAUUGCUGUAAAUAGCAAGUAUUGUAAUGUCUUCACUGAGAAUAAGCGAGUGGUAUCAAUUAUUUCAACUGCAGAGU